ACAUUUCUAAUCAAAACUCUGAUCAGGUUAUUGAUCACUGAUCAGCAUUUCCGUCGAGAGCCACUUUGCAUCAUCGGCACCACGCUCCAAUGAUUCUGGAGACUUUAUAGAGCUGACGGUGGAACACUGGAUGAUUGACAGCUGUCAUUCAGAAAUCAUCCUCAUCACCAUCAUGACUUUGAUGUCAGUCCUCGUCUGGACUCUGCUCUGCUGCUGCUUCACAGAGGUCAGAGGUCAGAUCACAGUCACUCAGCCCGCAGCAGUCAGCUCGACUUUGGGAGGCUCUGUCACCAUCACAUGCAGGACCAGUGUUAGAGUUGAUGAUGGUGAAGACUUAUCCUGGUACCAACAAAAAGAUGGAGAAACUCCUAAACUCCUUAUUUAUGUUACCAGCAGACGAGCGUCAGGGAUCGCAAAUCGAUUUACAGGCAGUGGAUCAAACACUGACUUCAGUCUGACCAUCAGUGGAAUCCUGGCUGAAGAUGCGGCCGUUUACUACUGUCUGGGUGAAUUCUGGGUGAACAGCCAACUUGUGUUCACACAGUGAAAAACCAUCGUACAAAAACCUCCUCAGUCAAAGUGAACAGAAACUGAACUGAAUGUUUCAGCUGAACAGUUCUGCACAGACUGAUACAGUCC